rnacentral:rRNA from 1 species
AUUGAACGCUGGCGGCAUGCCUUACACAUGCAAGUCGAACGGUAGCGGGCCUUCGGGUGCCGACGAGUGGCGAACGGGUGAGUAAUGUAUCGGAACGUACCUUUCAGUGGGGGAUAACGUAGCGAAAGUUACGCGAAUACCGCAUAUUCUGUGAGCAGGAAAGCAGGGGAUCGCAAGACCUCGCGCUUAUUGAGCGGCCGAUAUCAGAUUAGCUAGUGGGUGAGGUAAAGGCUAACCAAGGCGACGAUCUGUAGCGGGUCUGAGAGGAUGGUCCGCCAAACUGGAACGGAGACACGGUCCAGACUCCUACGGGAGGCAGCAGUGGGGAAUUUUGGACAAUGGGGGCAACCCUGAUCCAGCCAUGCCGCGUGAGUGAAGAAGGCCUUCGGGUUGUAAAGCUCUUUCGGCCGGGAAGAAAUCGUAUCAGCUAAUACCUGGUGCGGAUGACGGUACCGGCAUAAGGAGCACCGGCUAACUUCGUGCCAGCCGCCGCCGUAACAC